rnacentral:rRNA from 1 species
ACGCACGCUGGCGGCAGGCCUCACACAUGCCAGUCGAGCGGACCCUUCGGGGUUAGCGGCGGACGGGUGAGUAACGCGUGGGAAUAUGCCCUUCUCUACGGAAUAGUCCUGGGAAACUGGGGGUAAUACCGUAUACGCCCUUUGGGGGAAAGAUUUAUCGGGGAAGGAUUAGCCCGCGUUGGAUUAGGUAGUUGGUGGGGUAAUGGCCUACCAAGCCGACGAUCCAUAGCUGGUUUGAGAGGAUGAUCAGCCACACUGGGACUGAGACACGGCCCAGACUCCUACGGGAGGCAGCAGUGGGGAAUCUUAGACAAUGGGGGCAACCCUGAUCGAGCCAUGCCGCGUGAGUGAUGAAGGCCUUAGGGUUGUAAAGCUCUUUCAGCUGGGAAGAUAAUGACGGUACCAGCAGAAGAAGCCCCGGCUAACUCCGUG